rnacentral:sRNA from 1 species
ACUGUGCUGCUGCUGCUGCAGCAGCAGCAGCUGCUGCUGCUACUGCUGCUGCUGUAGCAGCAGCUGCUGCUGCUGCCGCAGGAGCUGCUGCUGCAGCUGCUACUGCUACUGCUGUAGCAGCAGCUGCUGCUGCUGCUACUCCAGCAGCAGCUGCUGCUGCAGCUGCUGCUGCAGCUGCUGCUGCAGCUGCUGCUGCUGCGGCAGCUGCUGCUGCAGUUGCUGCUGCUGCUGCUG